rnacentral:rRNA from 1 species
UACGUAGGUGGCAAGCGUUGUCCGGAAUUAUUGGGCGUAAAGCGCGCGCAGGCGGUCCUUUAAGUCUGAUGUGAAAGCCCACGGCUCAACCGUGGAGGGUCAUUGGAAACUGGGGGACAUGAGUGCAGAAGAGGAAAGCGGAAUUCCACGUGUAGCGGUGAAAUGCGUAGAGAUGUGGAGGAACACCAGUGGCGAAGGCGGCUUUCUGGUCUGUAACUGACGCUGAGGCGCGAAAGCGUGGGGAGCAAACAGG